rnacentral:rRNA from 1 species
AUACGGAGGGUGCAAGCGUUAAUCGGAAUUACUGGGCGUAAAGCGUACGUAGGCGGCUCGUUAAGUUAGAUGUGAAAGCCCCGGGCUUAACCUGGGAACUGCAUUUAAAACUGACGAACUAGAGUUGAGUAGAGGGGAGUGGAAUUUCAGGUGUAGCGGUGAAAUGCGUAGAGAUCUGAAGGAACACCAGUGGCGAAGGCGACUCCCUGGACUCAAACUGACGCUGAGGUACGAAAGCGUGGGUAGCAAACGGGAUUAGAAACCCUAGUAGUCC